GGUUGAUCCUGCCAGUAGUCAUAUGCUUGUCUCAAAGAUUAAGCCAUGCAUGUCUCAGUACAAGCCAAAUUAAGGUGAAACCGCGAAAGGCUCAUUAAAUCAGUUAUGGUUCCUUAGAUCGUACCCACAAUUACUUGGAUAACUGUGGUAAUUCUAGAGCUAAUACAUGCAAACAGAGCUCUUACCGGAGACGGAAGGAGUGCUUUUAUUAGAUCAAAACCAAUCGGUGGCGGGCUCGCUCGUCAUCGUACAACUUGGUGACUCUGAAUAACUUUACGCUGAUCGCACGGUCACCGCACCGGCGACGCAUCUUUCAAAUGUCUGCCUUAUCAACUGUCGAUGGUAGGUUCUGCGCCUACCAUGGUUGUAACGGGUAACGGGGAAUCAGGGUUCGAUUCCGGAGAGGGAGCCUGAGAAACGGCUACCACAUCCAAGGAAGGCAGCAGGCGCGCAAAUUACCCACUCCCGGCACGGGGAGGUAGUGACGAAAAAUAACGAUACGGGACUCAUCCGAGGCCCCGUAAUCGGAAUGAGUACACUC
rnacentral:rRNA from 1 species